AGAGUUUGAUCAUGGCUCAGAUUGAACGCUGGCGGCGUGGUUAAAGCAUGCAAGUCGAGCGAACCCGCAAGGGUGAGCGGCGAAAGGGUCAGUAAUACGAUCGAACGUGCCCCGAGGUGAGGGAUAGCGGUGGGAAACUGCCGGUAAUACCUCAUGAUCUCUCCGGAGCAAAGGUUUACCGCCUUGGGAUCGGCGAUCGUCCUAUCAGCUAGUUGGCGGGGUAAUGGCCCACCAAGGCUAUGACGGGUAGCAGGUGUGAGAGCACGACCUGCGACAUCGAAACUGAGACACUGUUCGGACUCCUACGGGAGGCUGCAGCGACGAAUCUUCCGCAAUGGGCGCAAGCCUGACGGAGCGACGCCGCGUGUGGGAUGAAGCGCCUUCGGCGUGUAAACCACUGUCAGGGGACGGAACCAAUGAUUGUCUCCAAAGGAAGGGGCGACUAACUCUGUGCCAGCAGUCGCGGUAAGACAGAGGCUCCGAGCGUUAAUCGGAAUUACUGGGCUUAAAGGGUGCGUAGGCUGAUCCGAAAGUGCUCCGUGAAAUCCCCCGGCUCAACCGGGGAACAGCGAGGCAUACUGCGGAUCUUGAGGCAGGUAGGCGCCGAGGGAACAGUAGGUGGAGCGGUGAAAUGCGUAGAUAUCUACUGGAACGCCGAUGGUGAAGACGCUCGGCUGGGCCUGUCCUGACGCUGAGGCACGAAAGCGUGGGGAGCAAACAGGAUUAGAUACCCUAGUAGUCC
rnacentral:rRNA from 1 species